AUGCUGGCACUGAUGGAAUGGGGAUAUCUCUCACGGCACAUCCCCGAAGGGGUGCUCUAUGCAGGCUGCUCCUGCGAUUCUCCAUUGUUCCAUGUCACGGCGACACGCUUCGAUGAUGGAGCGAGAGCACGGCGUCUUACCACGGAAGGUGCAUGCGUUACGCUCAAGCCAUAUGUGCCAGGCAAUGAGCGCAAGAAUGGAUCUGGUGCGCUUCCUGUCUGUUGGCCUUGCCGCAUCCGUGAUCAAUCUCACUCUUUCCGUCGUCGUCGUUCCGGAGCUCCAGGUAGCGUGUGCCAGAGAGUGGCAGCCCCGCCAAGACGCCGCCAUUGUCCAAGCCUGGAUGGCAAUCGGGCAGUCCCAGAACAGGUGGGAGGAGGACUCCAAAUUUCGCAAGCAGAGUUGGCAGAAGUAGCUAUUCUCCCAGCCACGCCGCUGCAGGCGAUCGUUGCACCACAGUCUGUCCAGGUGGAGCAUCCAGAGGAACAUCUUGAGCUUCCCAGGUGCCCAGAUUCGCCAGACGUCCUUGGAGGGGAAGGGUGCCAUUGGCUCCUGGAAUUGUGCCGCGUAGGCGGAGCGGGCGGAGUAGUGCCCGGAGGUGCCAGCAGUCCAGCGGAUUGUGUCGCUGAGAUCAUUGUUGAUGAUGAUGCCAGCUCUCCGAAUUGCCCUUGCAAGCUGGAGCACAAAUGGCGCGAUGCUGCUGGUUUCCCCGUGGCGGAGAUCAAGGAUCCACCGCCCGUCGAGCAGCGCGUCCCGGACGGACCUGUUCUUGCGGAUGGAGCGGGCGAACAGGGUAGGGUAGUCCAGCCGGAGUGGCCUGCCGCCUAG
rnacentral:rRNA from 1 species